rnacentral:rRNA from 1 species
GACGAACGCUGGCGGCGCGCCUAACACAUGCAAGUCGAACGAGCGAGAGAGAGCUUGCUUUCUCAAGCGAGUGGCGAACGGGUGAGUAACGCGUGAGGAACCUGCCUCAAAGAGGGGGACAACAGUUGGAAACGACUGCUAAUACCGCAUAAGCCCACGACCCGGCAUCGGGUAGAGGGAAAAGGAGCAAUCCGCUUUGAGAUGGCCUCGCGUCCGAUUAGCUAGUUGGUGAGGUAACGGCCCACCAAGGCGACGAUCGGUAGCCGGACUGAGAGGUUGAACGGCCCCAUUGGGACUGAGACCCGGCCCAGACUCCUACGGGAGGCAGCAGUGGGGAAUAUUGCACAAUGGGGGAAACCCUGAUGCAGCGACGCCGCGUGGAGGAAGAAGGUCUUCGGAUUGUAAACUCCUGUUGUUGAGGAAGAUAAUGACGGUACUCAACAAGGAAGUGACGGCUAACUACGUG